AGGACGAACGCUGGCGGCGUGCUUAACACAUGCAAGUCGAACGGUAAGGCCCUUCGGGGUGCACGAGUGGCGAACGGGUGAGUAACACGUGGGUGAUCUGCCCUGCACUUCGGGAUAAGCUUGGGAAACUGGGUCUAAUACCGGAUAUGACUACGAAUCGCAUGGUUUGUGGUGGAAAGCUUUUGCGGUGUGGGAUGGGCCCGCGGCCUAUCAGCUUGUUGGUGGGGUGAUGGCCUACCAAGGCGACGACGGGUAGCCGGCCUGAGAGGGUGUCCGGCCACACUGGGACUGAGAUACGGCCCAGACUCCUACGGGAGGCAGCAGUGGGGAAUAUUGCACAAUGGGCGCAAGCCUGAUGCAGCGACGCCGCGUGAGGGAUGGACGGCCUUCGGGUUGUAAACCUCUUUCAGUAUCGACGAAGCGCAAGUGACGGUAGGUACAGAAGAAGGACCGGCCAACUACGUGCCAGCAGCCGCGGUAA
rnacentral:rRNA from 1 species